AGUGAACGCUGGCGGUAUGCCUAACACAUGCAAGUCGAACGGCAGCACAGUAAGAGCUUGCGCUGACGGGGGGCGAGUGGCGGACGAGUGAGGAGUACAUCCGCAUCUACUGUUUCGUGCGCGGUGACGGAGGGAAACUUACGCUAAUACCGCAUACGACGUACGGGGGAAAGCGGGAGAUCUUCCGACCUUGCGCGAUUGGAUGAGCGGAUGUCGGGUUGGCUGGGUGGCGGGGUAAAGGCCCACCAAGGCGACGAUCGGUUGCUGGUCUGAGCGGAGGAUCAGCCACCCUGGAACUGAGCCACGGCCCAGACUCCUAGGGAAGGCAGAAGUGGGGAAUAUUGGAAAAUGGGGGCAAGCCUGACCCAGCCAGACGGCGUGGGUGAAGAAGGCCUCCGGGUUGUAACGGCCUUUUGUUGGGAAAGAAACCUAGCAGCUUAUACCCCGGGUGUUUGAAGGGAACGGAAAGAAAAGGACCGGCUUACUACGGU
rnacentral:rRNA from 1 species